rnacentral:rRNA from 1 species
UACGUAGGGUGCAAGCGUUAAUCGGAAUUACUGGGCGUAAAGCGUGCGCAGGCGGUGAUGUAAGACAGUUGUGAAAUCCCCGGGCUCAACCUGGGAACUGCAUCUGUGACUGCAUCGCUGGAGUGCGGCAGAGGGGGAUGGAAUUCCGCGUGUAGCAGUGAAAUGCGUAGAUAUGCGGAGGAACACCGAUGGCGAAGGGCAAUCCCCUGG